rnacentral:misc_RNA from 1 species
GCUGAUGUGAGGAUCAGUUCAAGAUUGCUAUUAAAACUUGCUGGUGGGAGGAGUUUAUCCAGAAGGGAGAGGCAACAGCUUACCCGUACCACUGCAGACAUUUUUAGACUAGUACCCUUUGCAGUCUUUAUCAUUGUUCCAUUCAUGGAAUUUCUGCUACCAGUAUUCCUGAAAUUGUUCCCCAACAUGUUGCCAUCAACCUUUCAAGAUAAGAUGAAAGAGCAGGAAGCACUGAAAAGGAGGCUGAAUGCAAGAAUAGAAUAUGCCAAGUUUCUUCAGGAUACUGUCAAAGAAAUGGCAAAGGAAGUCCAAAACUCACGGAGUGGAGAAAUUAAGAAAACUGCUGAGGAUCUUGAUGAGUUUUUGAACAGGGUUAGAAGGGGUGCAGGUGUCUCUAAUGAGGAGAUUUUGGGCUUUGCUAAGCUUUUCAAUGAUGAACUAACUUUGGAUAAUAUUAGCAGGCCUCGGUUGGUCAGUAUGUGCAAGUACAUGGGAAUCAGCCCUUUUGGAACAGAUGCAUACUUGCGUUAUAUGCUUCGUAAAAGACUCCAAAGGAUCAAGAACGAUGAUAAGUUGAUUCAAGCAGAGGGUGUGGAGUCUCUUUCAGAGGCCGAACUUCGUGAAGAAUGUAGGGAGCGAGGCAUGCUCGGUUUGUUAUCGGUUGAAGAAAUGCGGCAACAGCUUCGUGAUUGGUUGGAUCUGUCUCUCAGUCACUCUGUUCCAUCUUCCCUUAUGAUCCUUUCAAGGGCCUUUACUGUGUCUGGAAAAUUGAAACCAGAG